GGGAAACGCGGGGGCCAUUUCUUCAAAGGCUAAUCAGCAUCUUCCGGCAGUGCCACGAGAAGCUGAGCUGAUAAUGAGCGCAGCUCGGGGCUGAUGCCUGAUUAAUGAAGAGGCCACGGGGCUGCAGAGCAGGGCCAGGAAAUUUUUAAUUAAAAUAAUCAAGACUCGGGGCUUCUCUGGACAAAUUGGAAGACCCCCUAACACCGGGCAUCCCUGACCACAGGGCAACAGUUAGCUGGGGCUGAGAAACAGCUGCUCCCUUCAAGGGUUCUAAUAUUCUAUAUCACGAAUACAGAAACUGAGGCUCACAGAAGCUAACUUCUCCAAGGCCACCCAGCCAAGGUUUGAGUCCAGACCGUCUGGCUCCCGAACCCACACACUUGACCACUCCACCGUACAGUCCCCAGCUGAGAGGAGACGCUGGAAUUUAGAGCCACAUUUUACAGCUGAAGAGACGAAGCCUAGGAAGAAAGAGUGAUUUCUGCCUUCUAGUCCUCCCUGCUGCCGAAGUGGUCUUCCUAAAAUGCAGACUGCAUCGCAUCUUGCGGCUGGCCUUCACCUUCAAGAUAAAUCUGAACUACAGGCCUUUCUCCUCCCCACCUCCCAGAGCUUCCAGAACACGGCUCCAUGCUAUUGCACGCCUGCGCCGAAAAUGUCCCUUCCCAUCUCUUCAUCUGGAAAACUCGGCUUUCAAAACCCAGCUGGCAUUGUCACUUCCUCUAUGAGUCCACUCUGCCCCAGAGUUGGGUUCUCAGGUCCGGGCACCCCUGGCCUCUGGCCACACCUCACCGGUAGCACUUGUAUCAUUUGCGAUGGUUGGUUUUUGACUGUCUCUCCCACUAGUCCAAGGGUUCCUGAGAAGCAGGGAUUGUCGUUCGGCUG